GUAGGUGGCAAGCGUUGUCCGGAAUUAUGGGCGUAAAGCGCGCGCAGGCAGUCCUUUAAGUCUGAUGUGAAAGCCCACGGCUCAACCGUGGAGGGUCAUUGGAAACUGGGGGACUUGAGUACAGAAGAGGAAAGCGGAAUUCCAAGUGUAGCGGUGAAAUGCGUAGAGAUUUGGAGGAACACCAGUGGCGAAGGCGGCUUUCUGGUCUGUAACUGACGCUGAGGCGCGAAAGCGUGGGGAGCAAACAGGAUUAGAUACCCUGGUAGUCCACGCCGUAAACGAUGAGUGCUAAGUGUUAGGGGGUUUCCGCCCCUUAGUGCUGCAGCUAACGCAUUAAGCACUCCGCCUGGGGGGUACGGCCGCAAAGGCUG
rnacentral:rRNA from 1 species